UGUUCCUAGGGGGGCAGCAGUAGGGAAUCUUCCACAGUGGGCGAAAGCCUGAUGGAGCAACGCCGCGUGGGUGAAGAAGGUCUUCGGAUCGUAAAACCCUGUUGUUAGAGAAGAAAGUGCGUGAGAGUAACUGCUCACGCUUCGACGGUAUCUAACCAGAAAGCCACGGCUAACUACGUGCCAGCAGCCGCGGUAAUACGUAGGUGGCAAGCGUUAUCCGGAUUUAUUGGGCGUAAAGGGAACGCAGGCGGUCUUUUAAGUCUGAUGUGAAAGCCUUCGGCUUAACCGGAGUAGUGCAUUGGAAA
rnacentral:rRNA from 1 species